rnacentral:rRNA from 1 species
UGCUUACACAUGCAGUCGAACGAACUCUUCGGAGUGAGUGGCGGACGGGUGAGUAACGCGUGAGAAUCUGCCUGUGGGUCGGGGACAACCACUGGAAACGGUGGCUAAUACCGGAUGAGCCGAAAGGUAAAAAAUUUAUUGCCCACAGAUGAGCUCGCGUCUGAUUAGCUAGUUGGUAAGGUAAAAGCGUACCAAGGCGACGAUCAGUAGCUGGUCUGAGAGGAUGAGCAGCCACACUGGGACUGAGACACGGCCCAGACUCCUACGGGAGGCAGCAGUGGGGAAUUUUCCGCAAUGGGCGAAAGCCUGACGGAGCAAGACCGCGUGGGGGAGGAAGGUUUUUGGAUCGUAAACCCCUUUUGUCAAGGAAGAAGUUCUGACGGUACUUGACGAAUAAGCCUCGGCUAACUCCGUGCCAGCAGCCGCGGUAAUACGGAGGAGGCAAGCGUUAUCCGGAAUGAUUGGGCGUAAAGCGUCUGUAGGUGGCCAGCUAAGUCUGCUGUUAAAGAUCACAGCUCA